AGGUGCCACUGAGGACUGCAACAGCCAUGUGCUGUGCCCAGCAAACGCCAAGUGUGUGAACAACACCCACUGCACCUGCCUGGAUGGAUACCAGUCACAUGAGAAUCGCUUCUUCAAUGACACAACAGAGACCUGUGACGAUAUUAACGAGUGUUUGGGGUCGAGCCCAGCAGACUGCGGAUGCAACGCAAACUGCAACAACGUGGCUGGGAGUUACCACUGCACCUGCAUCAAUGGCUACAAGCCCAGCUCUGGGGAAGCCAACUUCACGCACGCGAGUGAGAACACCUGCCAGGACAUUGACGAGUGCCAGCGAAACACCACAAUCUGUGAGCCCCACGGGACCUGCAUCAACAUGCCAGGGAGUUACAUGUGUAGAUGCAGUUGGGGAUUUGGGAAGAGUCAUAAGGAUACGUCUAAGAUCUGCACAG
rnacentral:lncRNA from 1 species